rnacentral:lncRNA from 1 species
UCUAGGCUAACCUAUUACAACUUUUCCAAAAUCUAGGCUGCCGAGGAGUACAACAACAAGAUGGUUCCCUAAGAACCCUUAAUCUACCAAUGGACACUAUGAGUCGGAGAAGGGGCGCCAUCUUCCUCUAUAUCCAUGCUGGACGCUCCCUCGUCUUCCUCAGGGUCCUCCUGAGCUUCGAGCUGCAUGUUGAGGGCAUGCAUAUCUUCGAGCUCAGCUUGGUGCUCCUCCAGAUGGGCAUUGGCAAUUGCCAACUCCAUUUCCA